UUCUCCAUUGGUACUGAAAGACCCCCGAAGUGGGGAGGCCCUCACUCAAGUCUCGGGAUGACGUGACCCCCCCCAAAAACCCAUGAGAGA
rnacentral:pre_miRNA from 14 species